CAAAUACAUGCAUGCACACUAUGAGAAACAACUUCAACGAAAAACAAAUAAAUAAAUAAGAUUGCUUAAUGAUUGUUGUUCCACUGUAUACGAAUGGAGUUUGCAUCAACCAACAGGUUUUCUUGAAAGCCUUGUCCCUUGAUCAAUGUAGCUAAUGGGCGCCUAGAAA